AAUAGAUACCCUGGUAGUCCAUGCCGUAAACGUUGGGCACUAGGUGUGGGGCUCAUUCCACGAGUUCCGUGCCGCAGCAAGCGCAUUAAGUGCCCCGCCUGGGGAGUACGGCCGCAAGGCUAAAACUCAAAGGAAUUGGCGGGGGCCCGCACAAGCGGCGGAGCAUGCGGAUUAAUUCGAUGCAACGCGAAGAACCUUACCAAGGCUUGACAUGCACGGGAAGCCACCAGAGAUGGUGGUCUCUUUGGACACUCGUGCACAGGUGGUGCAUGGUUGUCGUCAGCUCGUGUCGUGAGAUGUUGGGUUAAGUCCCGCAACGAGCGCAACCCUCGUCCCAUGUUGCCAGCGGGUUAUGCCGGGGACUCAUGGGAGACUGCCGGGGUCAACUCGGAGGAAGGUGGGGAUGACGUCAAAUCAUCAUGCCCCUUAUGUCUUGGGCUUCACGCAUGCUACAAUGGCCGGUACAAAGGGCUGCGAUACCGUAAGGUGGAGCGAAUCCCAAAAAGCCGGUCUCAGUUCGGAUUGGGGUC
rnacentral:rRNA from 1 species